AUGGACUACCAGCCCCUUGUCUCGGCCCUCAACGCCCGCCUCAUGCCCGUCUCCCUCGACGAGCUCUUUGCCAUGCUCAGCAACUUCGAUCAGCGCAUGGCCCAGUUCCAGAACUCCGGUGGCGGGCUCAAGUCAUCUGCAAACGCGGGCACGCGUGGACGUGGCGGCUACUCCUAG
rnacentral:rRNA from 1 species